rnacentral:rRNA from 1 species
CCUACGGGAGGCAGCAGUGGGGGAUAUUGGACAAUGGGGGAAACCCUGAUCCAGCGACGCCGCGUGAGUGAAGAAGUAUUUCGGUCUGUAAAGCUCUGUCAGCAGGGAAGAAAGAAAUGACGGUACCUGACCAAGAAGCCCCGGCUAACUACGUGACAGCAGCCGCGGUAAUACGUAGGGGGCAAGCGUUAUCCGGAAUGACUGGGUGUAAAGGGAGCGUAGACGGUGAUGCAAGUCUGGAGUGAAAGGCGGGGGCCCAACCCCCGGACUGCUCUGGAAACUGGGUAACUUGAGUGCAGGAGAGGUGAGCGGAAUUCCUAGGGUAGCGGUGAAAUGCGUAGAGAUAAGGAGGAACACCAGUGGCGAAGGCGGCUUACUGGACUGUAACUGACGUUGAGGCUCGAAAGCGUGGGGAGCAAACGGGAGUAGAUACCCUUGUAGUC